CACGUAGGGGGCAAGCGUUGUCCGGAUUUAUUGGGCGUAAAGAGCUCGUAGGUGGCUUAGUAAGUCGGGUGUGAAACCUCCAGGCUCAACCUGGAGACGCCACCCGAUACUGCUAUAGCUUGAGUCCGGUAGGGGAGCGUGGAAUUCCUGGUGUAGCGGUGAAAUGCGCAGAUAUCAGGAGGAACACCAGCGGCGAAGGCGGGUCUCUGGGCCGUAACUGACGCUGAGGAGCGAAAGCGUGGGGAGCGAACAGG
rnacentral:rRNA from 1 species